rnacentral:tRNA from 1 species
CAGAGAGUAGUUUAAAUAAAAUUUUAAUUUUGGAGAUUAAAGAUAAAAUUAGUCAUUUUUUCUCUGA